rnacentral:rRNA from 8 species
GUUUAGAACGUCGUGAGACAGUUCGGUCCCUAUCUGCCGUGGACGUUUGAGAUUUGAGAGGGGCUGCUCCUAGUACGAGAGGACCGGAGUGGACGAACCUCUGGUGUUCCGGUUGUCACGCCAGUGGCAUUGCCGGGUAGCUAUGUUCGGAAAAGAUAACCGCUGAAAGCAUCUAAGCGGGAAACUUGCCUCAAGAUGAGAUCUCACUGGGAACUUGAUUCCCCUGAAGGGCCGUCGAAGACUACGACGUUGAUAGGCUGGGUGUGUAAGCGUUGUGAGGCGUUGAGCUAACCAGUACUAAUUGCCCGUGAGGCUUGACCAU